UUUAUAAAUAUUCAAUAUGAUAAAACAAUUCAAUAAUAUAAAUAAUACAUAAUAUGAAAUUUAAUAUAAUAAUAUAAACAGUAGAUAUAAAUAAAAUUAUUAUUUAGGUAUAGAAAUUUUGUUUGGAUAAUUUUAAUUUUUUUUUAUUUGGGGGUAAAGUGUGAUAAGUAAAAAUUUAAGGGGAAAAUAAAAAAUUUAAAGGUUAAGAGAGUAAAAUUUUAAGGGAGAAUAAAUGGGAGGAAUAAACUUUUGAGAGGAAAAUAUGCAAGAAAAAAUGAGAGGGGGGAAUGGAUUUAGGGUAAAAAGAGGUGGGAUGAGAGGAGAGCAAAAGUUAUAGGAAAAAAGUGAGGAAUAGUAAAAAUUUUGGGAGGAAAGUGAAGAAAUUUAAAAGUUUGAAGUAAUAAUAUAAAUUAUCAGAAUUUGACAUUCGAUUUAUUUGAAUUAAUUCUAGUUAUUCAAAUUUGAAAACCAAACUUGAUUCAAACUCGAAAUUCAAAAAAAUUCGAAUCGACUCAAAUAACUCAAUUUAUUUAACUUGAAAUUUAAGUUUUUUUUAAUUUUUCAAGUUAAAUCAAGUUUUACUCACUCCUAUAUAAGAUAGACACCAGUGGUGCCGCCUAUGAGAUGGGCAUAAUCAAAUGUAAAUCAAAACCGUACGCCACAUGUACAAAUAACUUAUUAAUAACUUAUUUUGGUGCCACCUACCAACUACCCUCCUUUAAUAAUUUUUUAUAAUAGACAACUGACACAUUCCCAUAAAUAAUUUAGGAAGUCUCAUAUUUUAGAUAUUUUUACUUUUUUAUAUUAAAUAGGUAAAAAAAAGCCACAUUAAUGGCUUUUAAAAAAAAGGUUAGAUUUUUUGGGUUUCUCUUAAAAUCGGACCUUUUUAUUAAAAUAACUCAUUAAUUUUAAUUAAACACCAAAUGACUUAAAAUUUACAGUAAAAGUUGGUGGAAUCAAAUUAUAUAGCGCCACCAACUUGCCACAUCAGGAGAGUAUAAAAAAUUAAUUUUUUUAGUGGAGCCAUAUAAAAUGACACCACCUAUAUAAAUACCAAAAAAAUAUUAAAAUUUUUGAAAAUAUGAGAGGACUUCAAAAAAAUUAAUCAUUUUCCUGGUGGAGUCAACUUAAAUGGCACAACCAGAUUCUGCCAUGCCAGUUCUUUUUUUUUUUUACUUUUUGACUUUUACUUUUCUUUUGUUUUUUCUUUAUUUAUUUAUUUUAUUUAUUUAUUUUGUUUAUAAUAUUUUAAAUUAUAAUUUUUAAAUUAUUUUUAAAGAUAUUAAAAUCAUUUUUUAAAUUCUAUUUAAAAGUUAAAAGUAAUAUUUUAUUUUAAAAAAUGAAAUUUAAAUUAAUAAAAAAAUUAAAAAAUAUUUUUCAUUUUCUAAUAAUACUGUAAAUUUUAGAAAAAUAGAAGACUUCAAAAUAAUUUUUCAUUUUCUGGUGGAGCCGACUUAAAUGACGCCACCAGACUUUCUUUCACUUUUUUAAAAAACUAAAAUAAAUUAAAUAAGUAAUAAAAAAAAGUGAAAGAUUGGGGUUUUUUACUAAAAAAAUAUAAAAAUAAUUAAAAAAUUCGAAAAUAAUACACCUAAAAAAAUAAUUAUGAAAAUGGUAUGGUCAGGGUGGUCACGCCACUCUGACAGGCGACACCACCCUGACGUGACGGUGAACAGUGACCCGCAACAGAAAAAAAAAUUUGAAAAAGAAAAAACACUGAAAACGAAAAAAAAAUAAAAAAAAGGGUCAUGUUAGUGCCAGAGGCAGCACCAGUGUUGCCUCUAGCAGAGGCGGCACCAAUGUUGCCUCUGGCAGAGACGGCACCAAUGUUGCCUCUGACAGAUGCGGCACCAGUUGUGUGGGUCCCACAGACUUAAAUACAAAUAUUAUUAUUAUUUUAAAAUGAUAAUAAGUAAAAUAUUUUCGUAUAUUAUUUUUUAUAUUAUUUUAGCAAAAAAUGUUUCAAAUGUAUUAUGUAAGUGUUUUUUAUAUUAAUUUAAUAAAUAACCCUGAUUUUGAUACUUUCUUUGUAUUUUUUUCGUAUCUUAUUUUUUAAAAUAUAUUAUUUUCAUAUUUUAUUUCAUAUUAUUUUAGUACAUAAUGUUUCAAAUGUAUUAUUAAAGUAUUUUUUAUAUUUUUUCAAUAAAUAACCCUGAUUUUAGCACUUUAUUCAUAUUUUUUUGUAUCUUAUUUUUUAAAAUAUAUUAUUUUUGUAUUUUAUUUCUUUAUAUUAUUUUAGUACAUAAUAUUUCAAAUGUAUUAUUUAAGUGUUUUUUAUAUUUUUUAAUAAAUAACCUUGAUUUUAGCACUUUAUUCGUAUUUUUAUUUUCGUAUAUUAUUUUAUUAAAUUAAUAUAAUAAAAACACUUAUAUAAUACAUUUGAAACAUUUUUUUCCUAAAAUAAUAUAAAAAUAAUAUACGAAAAUAUUUUAUUUAUUAUCAUUUUAAAAUAAUAAUAAUAUUUGUAUUUAAGUUUGAUCUAUUUAAGAGUGUGGGACUCACACAACUGGUGCCGCUUCUGCCAGAGGCAACACUAGUGCCGCCUCUGGCACCAACAUGACCCUUUUUUUUUUAUUUUUUUUCGUUUUCAAUUUUUUUAAUUUUUUUACUGUUGCGGGUCACUAUUCACCGUCACAUCAGGGUGGUGCCGCCUGUCAGAGUGGCAUGACCACCCUGACCAUACCAUUUUCGUAAUUACUUUUUUAGGUGUAUUAUUUUCAAAUUUUUUAAAUUUUUUUAUAUUUUUUAGUAAAAAACCCUGAAAGAUUGUAUAGUAAAAUCUGGUGGCGCCAUUUAAAUUGGCUCCACCAGAAAAUAAAAAUUUAUUUUUAAGUAUCCAAUUUUUCUAAAACUUAUAGUAUUUUUAGGAAAUAAAAAAUAUUUUUAAAUUUUUUUAUUAAUUCAAAUUUCACUUUUUAAAAUAAAAUAUUAUUUUAACUUUUAAAUAAAAUUUAAAAAAUAAUUUGAAUAUCUUUAAAAAUAAUUUAAAAAUCAUAAUUUAAAAUAUUAUAAAACAAAUUAAAUAAUAUUUAAAUUAUUAUAAAGCUAAUAACAAAUUUAAAAGUUUAAAAUAUUUAAAUAUUU
rnacentral:lncRNA from 1 species